UGUACCUGUUGGCCAUUUUGAUGUCCUCUUUGGAGAAAAGUCUAUUUAGUUCUGCCCAUUUAUUAAUCAAAUCGUUUGUUUUGUUGAGUUGACAGAGUUCUUUAGAGAUACCGGAUAUUAACCCCUUAUCUGCUAGAUGGGUUUGCAAAACUUUUGUCCCAUUCCACAGGUUGUCUUUUUUAAUUAUUUCUUUUUCUGUGCAGAAGCUUUUGAGUUUGAUGUUCCAUUUGUUGAUUCUUUUUUUCUUUUGUUGUUUGUGCUUUCGGCGUCAUGCCCCCAAAAUUGAUUGCCAUGACCAAUAUCGAUGUUAAUUCCCUUUAUUUUUUUCAAGGAGUUUUAUUGUAUCGGGGCUUAUGUUUAAGUGUUGGAUGCAUUUCAAGUUAACUUUUGUGAAUGGUGUAAAGUAGGCAUUUUCACUGUUCUGCCUGUGUUUUGCCAGAAGAACACAUUUCUGCUGAUUUGUCUCCUCAAGAGACCACACGUGGGCCUUUGGUGCUUAUUGGCCCAGCAAGACUUCUCCAGUCCAUUGACUCCCAUCUAUCCCAGAUGGGCAACUGACCAGAGGCCUUGACAGUGUCCACUGAUGUGGCGUAAGAAGGUGAUCUGGACCACGCUGACGUCCCCCUUCCUCCUCCUAGGCAUUCGAAGUAAGGAAUGUCCAGAGCAUCUGUUCCGUCCAUGAUGGGAAGAGGUCCGCUUGGCUCCCUCAGAUACCCUGCGUUGAAUUGAGCAGAACUGUUAUUCCCUCUGCAAGAGCAUAUGGAUGAGAGAUUUGGCUUCUGGACCAAAUCCUCACUGGGCAUGUUUGCUGGUCUGACCCUGCUCCGUGUGCAGAGGUCCUCUUGGGGAAGAGAGCCGUUGUCACGGACCAACCCAGGCAUAUUCUGUCUUAUUCUGGAACUGCGCUGGUAUGGGGGGCUGGGAUUUUUGUUUUUCCCUGUUUGAAAAUGUUUUUAAAAUACGGAUGUCUUGUCUCAUGCGACGCGAGCACUCUAGAGUAGUGUUUCUUAAAUUUCAGGGUAUGCGAUAAGUAAUCUGGGAUCUUAUUAAAAUGCAGAUUCUGAUGCCACAGGUCGGGAGUCAGCUGAGACUCUGCAUUUCUUUUUCUUUUUAAUUUUUUAAUUUUUAUUUUUACUUAUUUUGUUUAAUUUAAUUUUGGGGGGGAGAAUCUGCAUUUCUAAGUUGCUCCCCAAAUGACUCAGGCACUGCGUCCACAGACCUCCUUUGAAAGUGAGCUGAGAGGAAUCCUGAAAAAAUUUGCUUAUUAGAGUAACCAAGAGUAAAAAAAAUAAAGGGAGUAUGGUAUAUAUUUUCGUUUGAUACUGCUGGUGGGAAUUAGCACAUUAGUACAAUGACACAGGUCUUUAAAGGAAGGAUUUCAUUUCUAUGACUUGAUCUUAAGUUAAAAUUUAGGAGAUGCUGUAGCUUCAAAGAUAGGGUGAAAGGAUUUUCAGAGGAUGGCUUCGUUGUUUUUCUAAUCUUCUUCCUUACUAACAGAACCCCAGUUUUGGGGGGCUGGUGUAAGGGGGAGCAAUUCAGCUGAAAACAUUUUCUGGACUCUUUGCAAAUAGGGGUGGAUUUGUCGUUGGGGGGCAUCUCCAGGUGAACUGUUAAUGAAGAGAAGCCACUCAGUUACCAGUCCCUUCUGACCUAUGACCUCUGUUCCCCUCGCCCCUUUAUUCUGCCUGGAAUUCUGAUGGGAUGUUGGCGAUCCAUUACUCAUGAACCUGAGCUCAGCACUGCCUCCUUCCAGACUUUUCAUUGUAUGAGAAAAACAAAAUCCUAACUGAAAUCACUGUCUCUCAGGAGUGUGAUAUUUGCAUUUGAACACAACUCCUAACUUCUAUGCGAUCUAAAAGUCCAAAAAUAGAGAGGCUUGAUCAAUACGUUAUCAUUUACCCCCACAAUGAAAUGCUAAAAAGGCAUUUAAAAAAUUGUGUAGAGGGGCGCCUUGGUGGCUCAGUUGGUUGAGUGUCUGCCUUUGCUCAGGCUCAGGGUGUGAUCCCAGGGGUCCUGGGAUUGAGCCCCAC